AUACGUAGGUGGCGAGCGUUGUCCGGAAUUACUGGGCGUAAAGGGUGUGUAGGCGGACUAUUAAGUUAGAUGUGAAAGCCCGGGGCUUAACUCCGGGACUGCAUUUAAAACUGGUAGUCUAGAGUGCAGGAGAGGAAAGCGGAAUUCCUGGUGUAGCGGUGAAAUGCGUAGAUAUCAGGAAGAACAUCAGUGGCGAAGGCGGCUUUCUGGACUGUAACUGACGCUGAGGCACGAAAGCGUGGGGAGCAAACAGGAUUAGAUACCCUGGUAGUCCACGCUGUAAACGAUGAGUGCUAGGUGUAGGGGGUGUCAAGCCUUCUGUGCCGCAGUAAACGCAAUAAGCACUCCGCCUGGGGAGUACGGUCGCAAGACUAAA
rnacentral:rRNA from 1 species